CAGAAGUACAGUCUGAGGCCAAUGCUGGAAUGGGACUCCGCUCCUUCAGGUGAGAAAACAAAGGAUGGAAGAGGUAAAGGGACAGAGCUGGAACCCCAGCCCAGGUCUUCGGCCCUAAACCCAGGGCUUUUUCCACUAUACCUCAGCCACCUAAACUUAACAGAUCUUACUCCCAGAGACUUCAGCUAAGGAGCCUCGGCUAAAAUGCCCCCAGCAGUGAACCUAAGAGGGUAGAGGAAAAGUUUUCCUCCCCAGCAGUUUCAAGCAGAGAAAUAGCACUUGUGGAAGUGUGAAGGUGCGAGGGAUCUGAGGAGCAGGAAGAGGUGGAGUGUGGCUGACCCACAGGAAGGGAGGGGCUGCGCAAGAGAUGAAGUUUCUUCGCCUCUUCCUUCUCUGUCCUCGGUCUCCUGCCAUCUCUCGUUUGUAUCUCCUGCAUCGACCCUUCCAGGGCCUCAUCUACACUCACCUGGACUGGCAGACUCCACCCGCUUCCCUCCCAGGGAAAGUGCCUCGGAAUGAAAUUGGCAACAUCUUUUGACAGCUUGUUCUUAUUACUCCGUUACCAGAAAAGGGAAAAUGGCUAUUUAUACGGUCCAUUGCCACCAGCUGCUGUUCGAUUAUGGGCCAAGUUUCUUUUAAAACAAUGAUUAAUAUUUCUUGAUUGACUACCUGGCAAACCACACUGGAUAAUCCAAACUAUGAGUGAGUGGAUUUCCCUAGAUUUGAACAGGGUUCAACUGAGCCUCCACUUGGAUAUUCCAAGUGGGUUUUUAUUGUUGAAUUUCGUUUACACCAAUUGCAGAGUUUGGUGCUCAUAGCAUUGCAUUGAAUCAUAUGACAUUGCCAUCUUUUACAUCUUUAAUGGUCAAAUAGCAAUGUCAUAUUUAUGGUUCAAUUUAAUAGAUUCUCAAUAUAUAUUUGUUGACUAGAAUUGAAUAGACUAUAGAAAUCAUUCUAUAAAAGAUUGGAGGUAGUGUAUAGGAAAUGCAGACACACAGAAAACUAAUAUAUUACGAAACAAACUCUUUAAGGCCAAAGAAAUUCUCAAUUGACAUAGGAGGUUUAAACAGGGAGGUAAAUAAGACCCAGAUAAUACACCACUAGGUCCUCCACAAUUGCAAUGGUUUUGCUAUAAACUUGGAAGUUAUCUUUCUGCACCAAAAUAAUAGCAAUGACAAUGACAAGAACAACCAACAUUUAUUUAGCACUUAGGUGCCCGGCUUGGUGCUUUAUAUACACUUUGUAUUUAAUCUGUACCACAAACCUAUUAGAGUAAUUAUUAUCCCCAUUUUACAGAUGAAAUAGUUAAAACAGAAUUAAUAUCUUGGAGGAGAAAAUUCAGUUUCUUAGAGAUUGAUUCAAUUGAAAAAAAUCUUGACAACAUCAUCAGCGUUAUGUGGGUAAAUGUAACAAAUCUUUUGUAAGGAUAUUCUCUUAAUAUCCCUUGGGCUUGGUCAAAGAUUCAUAAGAAUCUUUGAUUCUUAAAAUUCAUAAGAUUCUUCAAGUAUAAGAAUCACAUAGGGACUUCCUCUCACUCCAAAUUUGGAACCCAUGAUCCUGGCUCCUCCAAGUGUGGGCUUUCUGACGGCAUUAUUGGCAUGGCUCAGGAGCUCAUUAGAAAUGCCGGAUCUCAGGCCGCACUCCAGGAGGCAUCCAGACCUUAUUUUAACAAGAUUCCCGGGUGAUUUGUAUGCACAUUAAAGCUGAGAAGUGUGGCUUUAAGUGCAGAGGAGGUCCCAUGUGUCUGACCUCUAAACAGACUCCCAGGGUGAUUGUGAUUGUAGCUGGAUCAAUGAUAAAAUGGCACUCGAUAAAACACUGCCCAGGACACCAUACCAAAACACCAUCCAUUGAAAGCACUACGGUAAGCAGCUUGAGAAGCCAAGGGUCACAGGGUCAAGACAGUGCAGGAUAUGCGGGCACCACAGUUGGUGUUCUGAUGCACUGGCUGGAUCCAAGAAUAAAACUUAGGAUACUGAAAGGGCUUCAUCUACUUUUCCAUCCCCACACUCAGAGGAGAACACAUCCCUGCAUCCCUUACAUGUCGGGGAGCAGCCAAAUGGCCCACCUCCGCAGUGAAAUUCUUAGACGCUGAAACUGUAGCUAAAAAAUUGCCAACCCUGUGGUGGAAUGGUUAGGUUCCCACACUCCACUUCUUGACCUGGGGUUCCUGGGUUCAGAUCCCAUGUGUGGACCUACACAUCACUCAUCAAGCC
ensembl:lncRNA